rnacentral:rRNA from 1 species
UGGGGAAUUUUGGACAAUGGGCGAAAGCCUGAUCCAGCAAUGCCGCGUGUGUGAAGAAGGCCUUCGGGUUGUAAAGCACUUUUGUCCGGAAAGAAAUCCUUGGCUCUAAUACAGUCGGGGGAUGACGGCACCGGAAGAAUAAGCACCGGCUAACUACGUGCCAGCAGCCGCGGUAAUACGUAGGGUGCAAGCGUUAAUCGGAAUUACUGGGCGUAAAGCGUGCGCAGGCGGUUUGCUAAGACCGAUGUGAAAUCCCCGGGCUCAACCUGGGAACUGCAUUGGUGACUGGCAGGCUAGAGUAUGGCAGAGGGGGGUAGAAUUCCACGUGUAGCAGUGAAAUGCGUAGAGAUGUGGAGGAAUACCGAUGGCGAAGGCAGCCCCCUGGGCCAAUACUGACGCUCAUGCACGAAAGCGUGGGGAGCAAACAGGAUUAGAUACCCUGGUAGUCCACGCCCUAAAACGAUGUCAACUAGUUGUUGGGGAUUCAUUUCCUUAGUAACGUAGCUAACGCGUGAAGUUGACCGCCUGGGGAGCACGGUCGCAAGAUUAAAACUCAAAUGAAUUGACGGGGUCAUA